rnacentral:lncRNA from 1 species
AGCGCAGAGGAUUUCGGACUGAGAGGCGGCGCGGAGGAGGAGCGACCGGCACAGGCGGCUUGAAGGAGUCGCGGUCACGCGGAAGAGACGCGCUGCAGAGGAGUGGCAACGAGACGAAUCAGACGAUUCGACGAGUUGCAAACUUGCGAUGGCAGAGACGAGUUGCGCGGAGGAGGAGCGACAGGCACAGGCGGCUUGAAGGAGACGCGGAACUGGAGCAGAUUCGACGGCAGGCACUGGGUUGAACUGAACCGAGGCGGCGAGGCUAUGGUCUUGGAGAGGAGAAGAGCCGAGGAACAGAGGAAGUGAGAACUGAGAAAGGGCCAAAG